CCUAUUUUUAUGCCCCACCUACGAUAGUAGAGGGGCAUUAUGUUUUCUGGUCUGUGCGUCCGUUCGUUCGUUCGUCCGUCCGUCUGUUCGUUCGUUCGUCCGUCUGUCCCGCUUCAGGUUAAAGUUUUUGGUCAAGGUAGUUUUUGAUGAAGUUGAAGUCCAAUCAACUUGAAACUUAGUACACAUGUUCCUUAUGAUAUGAUCUUUCUAAUUUUAAAGCCAAAUUAAACUUUUGACCCCAAUUACACGG
rnacentral:lncRNA from 1 species